CGGAAUCGAUCUGCAACUGUAAAUGUCAGGCCCGUGGAGAGCCCUUCUGUGAUGAGCAAGGACAUUCCACAGCCGCAGCAUUAUGGAUGAGCCCCAGACAGUAUUUUAGUGAAACCUUUCAGACCAACUGUAUGUGCA